rnacentral:rRNA from 1 species
GACAGAGGGGGCAAGCGUUGCUCGGAAUUACUGGGCGUAAAGGGCGCGUAGGCGGAAUGGCAAGUCGGUCGUGAAAUCCUUCGGCUCAACCGAAGAACGUCGAUCGAAACUGCCGUUCUUGAGGAUUGCAGAGGAGACUGGAAUUCCCGGUGUAGCGGUGAAAUGUGUAGAGAUCGGAAGGAACACCAGUGGCGAAGGCGGCUACCUGGACAGAUACUGACGCUGAGGCGCGAGAGCGUGGGGAGCAAACAGG